rnacentral:rRNA from 4 species
AGUGGACGCAUCACUGGUGUUCGGGUUGUCAUGCCAAUGGCACUGCCCGGUAGCUAAAUGCGGAAGAGAUAAGUGCUGAAAGCAUCUAAGCACGAAACUUGCCCCGAGAUGAGUUCUCCCUGAGACUUUAAGUCUCCUGAAGGAACGUUGAAGACGACGACGUUGAUAGGCCGGGUGUGUAAGCGCAGCGAUGCGUUGAGCUAACCGGUACUAAUGAACCGUGAGGCUUAACCUUACAACGCCGAAG